rnacentral:tRNA from 1 species
GCUGGGGUAGCCAAGCGGUUAAGGCGCAGGCCUGGAAAGCCUGUGGGCUUCGGCCCGCGCGGGUUCAAAUCCCGUCCCCAGCG